UACGUAGGGUGCAAGCGUUGUCCGGAAUCACUGGGCGUAAAGGGCGCGUAGGCGGCCUGGCAAGUCGGUGGUGAAAGCCCGUGGCUCAACUACGGGUCGGCCACCGAUACUGCUAUGGCUCGAGUUUGGUAGAGGCAGAUGGAAUUCCGGGUGUAGCGGUGGAAUGCGUAGAGAUCCGGAAGAACACCGGUGGCGAAGGCGGUCUGCUGGGCCAAGACUGACGCUGAGGCGCGACAGCGUGGGGAGCAAACAGG
rnacentral:rRNA from 1 species